GCCUGCACGUCACGGCUACUCAAAACCAAGCACGUCCCGAAAGCGGUAUUUUCUGCGUCUGGGAGGUUUUCGCAUCCUCAGUUCCCACCGCUGGGGCUGGCGGCGACCAACUCGCGGACCUGUCGCACCCGAAGAGCUGUCAUUUCACCGCUGAGAUUCAGAUGAAUGGAUCCAGUCCUCAGCGGACGGGGCACAGCUCAGUUCCCGAAAUGCUGCGUGUCUCCAGCUGGAACAAUACUAGUUUUUCUCAGCGAGGCUGCAAUUAACAUCUUGUUUGUUCUGGCUACAUACAGGCUUUGUCAGGACCGCGGUGCGGCGACCGAGGUUGGGCAUCUUGCAUUGCUUUCUGCUCGGCAGUGGGAUCAUGGGUGUGGGAUCUAAACUUUUGUUUUAAUGUAUCUGAUUCUUUUAAGUUUCCCUAGUAACAGGUUUGUGGACAGGGGUAGGAAGGAAAAAAAAAAAAAAAACGAGG